AGAGUUUGAUCCUGGCUCAGAUUGAACGCUGGCGGCAUGCCUAACACAUGCAAGUCGAACGGAAACGAUGGGAGCUUGCUCCCAGGCGUCGAGUGGCGGACGGGUGAGUAAUACUUAGGAAUCUACCCAGUAGCGGGGGACAACUCGAGGAAACUCGAGCUAAUACCGCAUACGCCCUACGGGGGAAAGCAGGGGAUCUUCGGACCUUGCACUAUUGGAUGAGCCUAAGUCGGAUUAGCUUGUUGGUGAGGUAAAGGCUCACCAAGGUGACGAUCCGUAGCUGGUCUGAGAGGACGAUCAGCCACACUGGGACUGAGACACGGCCCAGACUCCUACGGGAGGCAGCAGUGGGGAAUAUUGGACAAUGGGGGCAACCCUGAUCCAGCAAUGCCGCGUGUGUGAAGAAGGCCUGCGGGUUGUAAAGCACUUUCAGUAGAGAAGAAAAGCCUACGGUUAAUACCCGUGAGUCUUGACGUUACCUACAGAAGAAGCUCCGGCUAACUCCGUGCCAGCAGCCGCGGUAAUACAGAGGGAGCGAGCGUUAAUCGGAAUUACUGGGCGUAAAGCGCGCGUAGGCGGCUUUGUAAGUCGGAUGUGAAAGCCCUGGGCUCAACCUGGGAAUGGCAUUCGAUACUGCAGAGCUAGAGUAUGGUAGAGGGAAGUGGAAUUUCCGGUGUAGCGGUGAAAUGCGUAGAUAUCGGAAGGAACACCAGUGGCGAAGGCGACUUCCCUGGGCCAAUACUGACGCUGAGGUGCGAAAGCGGUGGGGAGCAAACAGGAUUAGAUACCCUGGUAGUCCACGCCGUAAACGAUGAGAACUAGAUGGUCCGGGAGAAACUGUCUUUUCGGGG
rnacentral:rRNA from 1 species